rnacentral:misc_RNA from 1 species
UUAACUAUUUAAUAGUACUCAGACGACACGAUUAACAAGAGUUUGGGGUCCUCUGGCGAGCGCUCACCAGCGUAAGCCGGUGGCCGAAGCGGCUCGCCAAAGCAACAGAGGUAAUAAUAACACAGGGUUGGAGAGUCACCCUUGCGGGCGAGUUUCUCUAUAAUGAUCCCUCCGCAGGUUCACCUACGGAGA